CCUACGGGGGGCAGCAGUGAGGAAUAUUGGUCAAUGGGCGCGAGCCUGAACCAGCCAAGCCGCGUGAAGGAUGACUGCCCUACGGGUUGUAAACUUCUUUUAUAAAGGAAUAAAGUGAGGCACGUGUGCCUUUUUGUGUGUACUUUAUGAAUAAGGAUCGGCUAACUCCGUGCCAGCAGCCGCGGUAAUACGGAGGAUCCGAGCGUUAUCCGGUUUUAUUGGGUUUAAAGGGAGCGUAGAUGGGUUGUUAAGUCAGUUGUGAAAGUUUGCGGCUCAACCGUAAAAUUGCAAUUGAUUGUGGCAGCCGUGAGUACAGUUGAGGUAGGCGGAAUUCGUGGGGUAGCGGUGAAAUGCGUAGAUAUCACGAAGAACUCCGAUUGCGAAGGCAGCCUACUAAUCUGCCACUGACAGUGAGGCUCGAAAGUGUGGGUAUCAAACAGGAUUAGAUACCCGGGUAGUC
rnacentral:rRNA from 1 species